GACAGAGGUGCCAAGCGUUAGGCGGAAUCACUGGGCGUAAAGGGCGCGUAGGUGGCGACCCAAGUCGAUGGUGAAAGCUCGCCGCUCAACGGCGAGUCGGCCACCGAUACUGGGUUGCUGGAGCACUGUAGAGGCUCAUGGAAUUCCGGGUGUAGCGGUGGAAUGCGUAGAGAUCCGGAAGAACACCGGUGGCGAAGGCGGUGAGCUGGGCAGUUGCUGACACUGAGGCGCGACAGCGUGGGGAGCAAACAGG
rnacentral:rRNA from 1 species